GAUGAAGAACGCAGCGAAAUGCGAUAAGUAAUGUGAAUUGCAGAAUUCAGUGAAUCAUCGAAUCUUUGAACGCACAUUGCGCCCGCCAGUAUUCUGGCGGGCAUGCCUGUUCGAGCGUCAUUUCAACCAUCAAGCCCCCGGCUUGUGUUGGGGACCUGCGGCUGCCGCAGGCCCUGAAAAGCAGUGGCGGGCUCGCUGUCACACCGAGCGUAGUAGCAUACAUCUCGCUCUGGGCGUGCUGCGGGUUCCGGCCGUUAAACCACCUUCAUAACCCAAGGUUGACCUCGGAUCAGGUAGGAAGACCCGCUGAACUUAAGCAUAUCAAUAAGCGAAGGA
rnacentral:misc_RNA from 1 species